UUUGGUCGUCGAGUUCAUGGAACUGAAAACUGACACGGCAACUCCCGAACACCGCUGGACUUCCAGAAUCACCUGUGUUCGGUUCUACAACACUUAGAAAGACACUGUUCGGUGGAAACAUUCCCACGAACAAGGGGAACAAGCUCCAGGAAAUAUUUGCCUGGAAAAUACAUUUUAGAAAAUAUCAGUUAAUGCAGGACAGAAAGAUUGACAGUUCUUGUAGGAACCAGUUACACAGAAUGGAUAUGCUGGCACUUCCUCUGUGACAAUUAAUUUCCUUAUCAUCUAAAUGAAACAUACUUUACCGAAACUAUGACCCAAGGACAGUGUGAAAUGUUGAGCACAGUUUAAUAUGAGCCCCUUUAUUGAUGGCAGAAGAACCUGAAUCCCUACAUUCCAAAUACUGUGGACGAGCACACUACUUGUAUCCGGCUCCAUAACCCUCGAGAGGGCUUAUCUUUGCCUUUGUUAACUGGCAAACGUAAACACAAUGUCAGCAGGAAGGCAACGGGUCCGUGAGGGCAAUUAGCCAGUAGGGGUAACAGUUUGCCAACUGACUAUGCCAGCACUGCAAGAUAUGGGGUUCAAAAUGGACUACACCAGCAAGAUGGUAUCUGAUCUGGCAAAGGACUACACCAGCAAGAUUGCAGCUGAUCUAGCAAAGGAGGUACUGGUCUGGCAAUGGACUACGCCAGCUGUAUGUUAUCUGGUGUGACAAUGGACUACGCAAGCAGUAUGGUAGCUGGUCUGGCAAUGGACUACGCAAGCAGUAUGGUAGCUGGUCUGGCAAUGGACUACGCAAGCAGUAUGGUAGCUGGUCUGACAAUGGACUACGCCAGCUGUAUGUUGUCUGGCCUGACAAUGGAUUACGCCAGCUGUAUGUUAUCUGGUCUGACAAUGGACUACGCAAGCAGUAUGGUAUCUGGUCUGUCCGUGGAUUAAGGGGUAUACACAUCUACUGGUCUAUAAGGGUAUACACAGCAAUAUAGAAACACUACCUUAAUGGUUUAUCACCAUUUGGUUUUCCAGGAGUGUUUCCCCUCUCUGACUUUCGAACGUCUGUACUAAAUGUAGCAUUAGGAACAUUGGGGUUUCCAUGGUUACUGCUCCAUCUAUGCGUCUGUACGGAAUUCCUAUUAUCUAUGUUUUUGGAAUACACAAUCCCUGCCCAGACAUUCUUUAAUCAUGGGGGGUCAAUGUUAACAUGGGAUGGAUUUAUUGUAGAAUGUAGUACAGGAUAGAAACAGGUUGGAAGAAUUGUGGCUAUAGCAACAUUUUAAAAAGUGGAGAUUUGAAUCGAAAUUGGUAUUUUAUAAAUUAGUUGUGUUAUGCCCCCUGGCUGUCAAUCAGACAGCGGAGUGCUCCUUUAAAUAUGUUUGACUUUGCUGAGGAAAUAGUGACUGAUCAAAUGAUUCUUUUCGUGAUGGCAGAGACUGGUCCGCCCAUUGUUUAAUGCAUAUUAAAAGCAAUCCACUAAUAACAUAUUAAAAUAAACACAAAGUAUACCGUGCUCGGAGUAUCUCAUGUUUGUAACAAAUCGUUCUGCUGUUAGAAGACC